CAGUCACUGCUAUUGAUUUGAACUAUAGAGCUAUAGAACUAUUAUCGCUUAAAAAUCCUAGAUUUAGGUAUGUGAGAUUGGAAGCAUGUAUAUUCAAGUUUCCCAACCCCUCAUAACUGCGAAUUGCCACAUCUCCAUGAAUCCUUGUAACCUGGCAUCCAAAGUCGGAAACCCAAAAUUAGUGGGCUACAUUGGGAAGAUUGAUGAAUUUCAAUUUUAGGACAGUGAGGAGAAGAGAGCCCCCAAGAUCCACCCUGGAAGAAUCGUCAAUCUUCUUAUCAGUCUUGGAUCUCUAUAAUAGAUUUGUGAAGACAUGCUUUCCACAUGCUUUUCAGCUGGAGGCUAAGAGUCCAUAGUCCCAAUAUGAACAGUUGGAUUCAUCUUGCAGCUGAGAAAUAGGUUGAACACAUGGAUCUACAUAUAUCUUAUAGAGAUCCAAAGAUGAGGCUUAACGCUCUUUCCCUGGUGGAGCUUGGGGACUCUAUUUUCUGGUGUGAAAUUCAUCAAUCUUUCCAAGAUAACAAACUAAUUUUAGGGUUUUCUGAUCCUUGAUGAUAUUUGAUCGUCAUCAUCAAUCUUCCCAAGAUAACCACUAAUUUUGGGGUUUUGUGAUCUUUGGUGAUGUUUGAUCAUCAGUGUGGAUGAUGCCAUGUUUGAGGGUUUCAUGGCUGUGUGCCCAUAUCUUAGAAUGUUGGGAACUCGCGGUUGUUUGGGAUUGAAAAGAUUGAAUAUACGUUAUUCCAAUUUCAUGUACCUAAUUCUAAGAAUUUUAAGCCCUGAUAUAUCAUUGAAUGUCGCCAAUCCAGGACUUCGUAGUACUACUGAUCUUAAUGGGUUUCCUGGGCUGUAAGUGCUGGUAAUCCAUGGCCAAUGUUUCGAGUCUUCGGAUCAUCCAAGGUGAUUUGAAGGUUCAAACAGCGAAUACGUUUGUCAUCUUUCUGUUUUUCAAAAUCUUGGCGAUAAAAUUUGAGAAAGGCUAUUUUCCUCCAUAAGAAUCGCCAUCACAGGGGAAAACGUACGACAUCUCUGUAAGAAAUACUUGACAGAAUAUAAGUUGAAGAAAAUUAUGUGAUAAUGGAGAAAACUCUUGCCAUUGAUGCUAUCAUAUUUUCUUCGACUGCAAAAGAACCUCUGCGAUUCUACGGAGUAACAAAACAAAUAUUUACCUUUAAUGCUGUUUGUUUACCAUUGGGUGUGUGCAAGAACAUUUGUAAUGGGGAACAUGACGUAUAUAAUCCACUUUCGGAAUAUAGAAACAAUAAAAUGUUUUCAGAGAUAGGAAAAAACCCCAAAAUUAGUGGGUAUCUUGGGGAGAUUGAUGAAUUUCAAUUGUAGGUUAAUGAGGUUUUCACAUUUAAAAACAGAGCAAAGACAAGCAUUGUGCUGGAGCAGGGCGCUGUUAAUAUGUCAUCUUUCUGUUUCUCAAAUUCUUGGCAACAAAAAAUGAGAUCAGGUAUUUUCUUCCAAAUUAUGUCAUUUUGGUACUUAGCUUCUAUCUUGGUUACAACAUUAUCUUGUGGUCUUUAUAUAUUUGUUGACAGUAACACUAUUUCCAUCAAAUCGUCAGUCUUGGUAUCAUCCAAGGUGAUUUGAAGGUCUAAGCAGCGAAUACGAGCAUCCAGGUGAGACAGAGCAUUGCUAAUUAUUACGAUGAUGAUAGUUUUAUGUUGAUUACAACAUUAUCUUCUGGUCUUUAUAUAUUUGUUGGCAGUAACACUAUUUCUAUCAAAUCGGUGAUUUGAGGGUCUAAGCAGCGAAUACGAGCAUUGCUAAUUGUUACGCUUUUCAAAAUCUUGGCAAUAAAAAUUGAGAAAGGGUAUUUUCCUUGAUAAGAUUCGCCAUCACAGGGAAAAACAUGCGACAUCUCUGCAAUUCUAGGGAGUAACAAAACACCUAUUUAUAAUGAAGAUUAAAUCCGUUUCCGUUUCUUUACCGUUGGGUGUGUGCAAGAACAUUUG